AGGUAUUGAAAGGAUUCUGCAAAGACUCUGUCAAGUUCCCAGUAUAUUACACAUAAGUCAAUUAAUAAUUCUUCCUGCCCCCCUAUGUUACGUCUUCAUGAACUCUCUGGUGUUCCUCAGGCAGUGGACAUGUGUCCUGGUCCCAUUUCCUGUUUGUUGUCCUAGGAUCUGCAGUGAGCAUUUUUGUAUGUGAGUAAUUCUCUCUUUUUGUAUACUUUUGUUUUUAACAUUAUUGCUGUUACUAUUCAUUGUCUUAUCUCAUUGCUGUUUCCAGUAAAUUGUUCCUAUCUCAACUCAUGAUCUUCACCUUUUGUGCCUCCAAUUCUCCUCUCUGGCCACCUGUGUUGGGUGGGAAUUGAAGAAGGGGAAGGGGGAGGGAGAGAGUAGAUGUUUGGUUUGGAAAAUCUCAGUAGGAGAACUAAAUUGGGAAGUACCAUUCCUAAAUUAUGACACUUUGCAAAGAAAAACAUUAUUUUAAAGGUAUUUAAACUGUAUUUGAAAAUUCCAAGGAAAGUCACAUUUUUUAGAAUGCCUAUGGAACAGUUACUCUGUAGGAUUAAGAACACACCAAUCAGACAUGAACUGUUAUACUGAGCUUUGUAUUUCCUCUUAACCUUGACUGGGUUCCUUUGCAAUUCCUCAGUGAUUAAAUUUAUUUCAUAUUUGCAUAAAAUUAGUAGAAAAUCCAACACUGUUUCUACUUUGCCUUUCUUUGCAAUUUUUGAAAUACAAAAUAUUUUAAAUCUUGGUUAUUUGUAAAUGAUUUUAAAAAUAAAAUUAGUAUUGCCUGGCAAGUUGAUUGUGAAAAGUCAAGUGUUCAAUAAAGGGUUUAACUAAUCCAAGAGAAACUAAUCAGGCUGCAAUAAAGUUUUCAAAUGCCCACAGAAAAGGGGAGAAAAACUCUGAGAUACUUGCUGUCAAAACAAUUGAGUUUUUCUGAAAGUUCACUGAAAAUUAAUCAUCCUACAUGUACCAUAUAUACUAAUGCUUUUCUUCUCUUGCCCUCAUGUAUGUCUAUGCUAUCCUCAUGAAAUCCAUGCGCUGAGACACUUGUCCUUGGAUCACUAAUCAUGUCAUCAGUAACAGUGGGAGAACAGUCAGAAUUUCCCUCAAAGUCUGCAUGGUUACAUUGAGCUCAUUAAGAUAAAGCCUUGAAAGGCCUUCAAGCAGAACUUCUUGCCUCAAAGCCAUGUACAGCAGUUCUCCAAAGAGGAGCCUGCACAGCAGCAAGCAGCUGAGAAUUGGCAGGAAGGAUUCCUAUGGAUAAUUCACUGAGAUGUGAUGGUGCUUGUUUUAAAAUCUGGACGGAUUUAAAAUGUGGAAGACAGAUUCGAGGGGAACAGAGGAGGACCAUGAGAUGUGGCCCAACAAGAAACCUGCCAUGUGGUGUGGAAUCUCCUGUUUUUUCUGCAGCAUACACGUUAUAGUUUCUUCUUGUCAUCUGUAAACCUCUCAGAAUGGCUGCCAGCAGGGAAAAACACAAACAACAAGGUUCUGGUUUUCUACUUCCUUGCACUGCCCCUGUUCAGAGAUUGCGCCUGAGUGGUCAAUGAAGAAAUGUUCAGAGUCCUGGGGCUGUCUCUGUUCUUUCUUCAAUCAGUUUGCUAUCUCAUCUGCAAGUCUAUUUUAAAGAAUCACAGAAUAUCUUGAGUUGGAAUCACAACAAUCAUCAGGUCCAACUUUUGGGUUUCUUUACACUAGGAAUCUCAGAAUGCUUCAUGUACUUCUCUAUUUACUGAUAGAUUUAAAGGAAGAUGGGGCAAGAGGGUUCAAUUGGGAUUUCAAGGACGUUUGAAGUCUGUCCCUACUGCUGCUAUGGAUCUUGCGCAGUAGCCCAGGGAUAAUGCUGGCAAGGCAAGGCAAGGCAAGGCAGGGCAGGGCAGGGCAGGGCAAGGCAAGGCAAGCUCUUAUUCUCUGCUUUAUCUCAAUGCCCACUGCUGCUGUUAUUUGUUCUUUAAAAAAAAAAAAGGAUUUUACCCACACCAAAAUGAACUUUCUGCCUGAACCUUGUUAUGAUCCAUGUCAUAUGAUACUUCCUAGCACUAGGAAGGACUGGAAAAGUCUCCUAUUUCCUUUUCCUCUGUCCACAGCUCUGUUUCAUGGUCUUCCUUAACAAUUUUCUCGCCACCUGCAGUUUCACUAUUUCAAGGAAAAUAAUUAAUGCCUCUGGUCAAAAAUGUAAAGUUCUCCUUCUUACUCUUUUCUGACUUCAUAUUUUCUCCACGUUCCCUGUAUUGUUCAAAGAGUAAUGUCAGAAAGAUGUUCAGGGUUGAUUCUGCUGUUUCCUAGCUGUCUAAGCCAACACAAUAGAGUUAAGUCCUGUGAACCAUUCAGCAUCAUUGCUGUCUGAGUAUGUGUAUAGGAAACCUGUGUAAGGAGGCUGCUUCAUGAGUGGAUACCUUUAUAAAUACACAUAUGGCAAAGCCCUGUCCUUCAAGAAAGCCCUCUGCCACACAGCAUCUCAUUUUGUUUCAGAAAGAAAACAUAAGAGAGAAAACCAAGUUGUUAGCUGACCAUUUCCCUUUCGUUUGGGAAAACUCAAAUGUUUAAUUGUAUGAAACAUAUUUGAUGUACACUGGAGUGAGACAGAGAUGGUGACUCAGGCAUUUAAUCAUUUUUUUCAUGCUGUUCUGAAGCAUAAGAAAAUAGGUUUUAAAAAAAAUCAUAAUACUUUAAAAAUAUUCUUGUAAAUAAAUAAAGUUUUAAAAUCUAGAAAGCGGAAGAGCAAACAUUAAAAGAAAUGUAAAGCAGAACUUAAAUGUAUUGUGUAUAAUGGAAUAAUGAACAUUUUCCUAAGCCUAUACUAAAAAUCAAAAUGAGCUAAGAAGUGAUUUGUUGUCUGGUGGUUUUGUGGACCUGUUCAGCAUUUGUGUCAGAAGAGAAUUCAACUGAUGAAGUGCAACAUAAGCAUUAAGCAUUACUUAUUAAGUGGAAUUUUUCCAAACCUAGUAAAACAGAAUCUGCAUAUUAAGGAGUUUAGUUUAAAGUUAGAAAUAUUCAAGCAUGGAAAAAGUACCACUUCAGCUAUUUUUACUUACAAUAAUUUUUCUUUCUCAGAAUUGUUAUUUGAACAUUGCUUAUAGAUCUCUAAUGCUACACUAAAAGUUCAUAUGUUUAACUAGUGAUGUCAUAAUGAGUUUUCCGUGAAAAGUUGAGUAUAUCAGUGUAUAUGUAGGUUUUAAACUCCUGAGUUAAUCUAGUCAGAUCUUUUGUAAAGAAAGAGUCAUGUCAUCCAGUCUUUUCUUUACAGAAAACAAAUACCUAUGCUUAAUAUAGACAACAUUACUACUUCAUUGAGAUAAGGCACAGAAAUAGAAUGAUUCGAAUCACUAAGAAUACACUGGGAAAAGAUGUCAGAAUGCCACAUUAGCAAAGAGGGAUGGUGGAAUUAUUGCUUGUAGUUCUCUAUAUAUUCUUUUGCAUACCAUCCUGCUCAGAUAAUCCUACCUCCAUUGUUUACAGUGCUAGUAGUUGCAAUAUCUGUGCUGCAUCACAUCUUCUGCAUAUUCAUAGGCCUGGAAAUCCUUUUCAAUCAUUGGAAGGACUGAGAGGACAUAAGAAGUGUUUUCCUACUGCUCAGGGUACAUAGCCAUUAUUUACAGUUUCUUUGGUAUGAUAUAGCUGCUUUUUAAAAACCAUGAAGAAUUUAUUCAAAUGAGCUGUAGAAAACAAGAGCACAUGUAAAUCUCAGCCCGAGAUGUGUUAGUUGCUAUUGAGGGACUCAAAGUAAAGUGGAUUAGGAAGAAAUUAGUAGUAAACAUGUGCCCAGGGCCUGAAAACCUUCAAAUUUAAGGACAUAUUUAGGGAUUUUUGCGUACAUUAACAGCAGAAAAAGAAGAAGAUAGUUUUCAACAAUACCCAGAAUGUCUUAGAUGUGAUUGUUCAAAGGUCUGCAUUAUCCUUGAUGAAAACCAUUAGUUUGAAUGCCUUCCCAUUUUAUCAGGACAGAUUUAGUCCCUGUCAGAAGGCAACCUGAACAUCUGGGAUUGGCAACAGGCAAGAUUUGGAUGAAGAGCUUCCUUUGCUCCUAUGGGAAAUAUGCUGACCCCUGGCAUGCCUUGCCAUCACAGGGAGAAAACAUGAUGUUUUUAAUGUUAUUAUUCCUCUGAUGUGGCAAACUACUUCAGUCACUGGAAUUCAGAGGUCUUAGCCAUGGUUGAGAGGUGGUUUGGAUGAUAAAGCUGGUGCUGUCUACUGUGAAAGUACUUCAAAUAGGAACAUUCUUUUAAACUCCCUAGGCCUGAUCCAAUUUUAAAGAGGAGAAGGAGAAGUUUUUCCAUGGCUGCACUGGGAGCAAGAUCAAUACUCUUCUCCCUGCAGACCUUUCAAUUUUUUUUGUUUCCUUCAAGAUUUUUCCCCCGCCACACUUUCCUUUAUUCUAAGUUGCAUAUAAAAGUAAAUUUUGGGAUCCUUCAGUGAAAAAAUCUUAGAACUACACAAAGAAAAUCUGGCUCUAAUGUUCAUUUAUCCCUAUAGAUGAAAAGCUUCAUUUAUAAUCAGGGAGCAAUUUGUAUGUGUAAGGAAAUUCAGGAGCUGAAGGUUAUGCUGGUAGAGGGGCUACUUUCCAUUCAGGUCUACUGCACUCUUUUUCUAAUCAAUUGUUCUAGCCUUUAAUCAAUCUUUUUUUUAUUUUUUAUUUAGUUGACAGUGACUGCAAUCCUUUUGCUCUUUGCUCUGCUGCAGUUGUAGCUUGCACAAGUCUGAUUGUACUUAGAGUGGGCCCAUUCAUUUUUUUUCCCGGAGUGCAAGGCCUUAUCCAAAGCCCUUAAGUUUUCUUUAAAUUCUCUCAUUGAGUAUUAUAUUGGAGUUAGAAACACAGGGGCAUGAGUUUCAUGGCCAGAAGAUAAUUUGUUUAAUUAAAGAAAAAAAAAAAAAAGGAAAUACCAACCAUUUGUGCUGCUGCAUCUGCUAGCUAUGGAUUUGAGUAUAUCUAAUAUUUAAAUUAGUUGUGAAAAUGAGACUAAUGAAUUUUAAGUAUUAAUCUGUUACUAAAACCUCACAAUUCUCAGGAGAAAAUGUACCAUUCUGCUUCUUAUGUUGUUAAAGAAAGUAGGUAAAAUGCAGUAUUGCAAUUGUUAUGAUUUAAAAAUAGAGUAAUUUAUUUUAUCCUGACUUUGAAAAUGACUGAAGCAGCAUUUGGCUAUACCAUGGGGGAGUGCUGUGCAUCUUUAUCAGUUUGUUAACAUUAAAGCCCUUCUGACAAAUAUCUAAGUGUCUUGCAUAGCAUAUUGAAAUUCUGCUCUUCUGAGUUAUACUUGAACUUAUUGUCCAGCAUCUAUGGCUUUCAAAGCUGUUAAGUCUCAAAAUUGAUGAUUGUAAUGCUGAGCUCUUGUACUCUUCAUAAAAAGUGUCUCUUCAGUCCAUUGAUAAAGAACAUGAAACAGUGAGAGGCUAAAUGAUUUAUCUACCCCCUAUCACCUGAGAAAUCACUAGCAAAACCUUAAAGAAAAGAGGCUCAAGUCACUUUUUCUAACCACCAUACUUCACUUGACUCCUUGCCUCUGUAGCCAUCCAUCACUGUGUCAAAUUUGUAUCAGUAUGGUAAGGAAUAUUUGAAAACACAAAAAACCCAUUCAAAAUAAAUAUUGGAAAUGAGUUCUGUGGCUUUGCCAGACUGUUUUUCCAACAUUUCAUUUUUGUUAGUGAAGUCAUAGGUUAUUUACAUCAAGAAAAUACUGCUCCUGUGGAUUUUUUCCCCAGCUGUUUUUCUCCUCUUGUGUAACAUACUUUCUCUGCUUUUGAUAUUAAACUUUUCAUGGGAGCAAAUUUAGAAGUUCUCACCUUUGUUGUCUGACAGGUUAAAAUAGCAGUUAAUGUCCUCCAGUAUGGUACCCACGCAGAAUUAUAUUCUGGGGGUGUUUACUUUCUAUCAAGUUUAAAAGAGGAUAAAACUCAUCUUGAUUUUGAGUUUUACAGCAGAAGUUAUCUGUGGUUAUGUCUCCUUUCCAGCUUUUCUUUCCUUUCCUCUCCUAACUUGAUGUUCUUUCCUCUGAGAGACUUGAUCUCAGUAUUUAUCUCUGUGUGGGCUGCCUUUCCAAAAUUGCAUUUUAGUAAAGCUCUUGUAUUUUCCCAGCUGGUGUUAUUGCUCCAGGUGUUUCUGAGCAAAGGAGAAAACAUUAACAUGCAGGGUUCCUUGCUUUAAGCCCUGCUAUCCCUGUUCCAGAGUCUUCAAGAAAGCCAGAAGCUGUGCAUCUUCUCUGGAGAGGGCAACUGUGACCAGGUUUAAAGACAGAGACAGGCAUUUUGCAGGACUUUCAAGGACCUGGUAUGAGUUACAGAACUCUGCACUGACUCUGAAGCUCCCAUAAAAUCCACUGCCAGCAUUUUGUACAAGAUCUUUUUUAAUACAGAGGAGGCCUUACGUGUGGUGUUACACGAU